AAAAUUACCAGAAAAAUGAAAGGUAAAAUCAUAUAGAGUUGAGAAUAUUAUCGAUAAUAAACGAGCCGUUUUACUAUCUAUUUGUUUUCGAUGUUAGAGCUUUCAAAUUGACGAUUGGCUUCGGUAAAUAUGAUCUAAAUCAUUUAAACUAUCUAGAAAUCAAAUUUCACGCACUUUCGAUAUUAUUUUUUUAUUCAUCAAGUGAACAGAAAAAUGAAUGACUGAAAAUAAAUAUUCUUUAAAAAAUGAUGGUAGGAGUCUUGUAAUCAAGAUCAAGAGUAUAGAUCUUGUUUUAAAUAGUUUAAAGAACUUUUUAAUAAAAAUUCAAUUGAUUUGGAUUUCUUUACGCCGUUAAACAAGAAAACGCCUCUUAUCGACCAUUAAAAUUACAAAUUUUGAAACCCUUUGAUCAUUAGGCAAAGGAUGUCGAAAAGAUUUGAAAUUUGAUUUCUAAACACUUCAAGUGAUAUAGAUCAUGUUCAACGGAGCCGAUCGUUAAUUUGGAAGCUCUAUCAUCGAAAAUAAAUAGGUAGUAAAACGGCUCGUUUACUAUCGAUAGUAUUCUAGCAAAACUCAAAUCAUAGGUAACUUAUUUAAAUUAUUGAUCAUUUUAAGUUUACUAUCAACUUUUCGCGAAUUUAAUUUUACUAUUUAUUUUUUUAUUUUUUGAUUUAAAUCAGUAGUCAAUGACAUUUUGAUUUAAAAAUUUUAAGCCAUUUGCUUUUUUUUAAUGAGUUUAUAAUUAUAAAAAUUUUAUAAAGUAUAAUAACUAAAUAUAUAAAAACUUAAAUUUUAAAUUCGAAUUAUUAUUGAUCAACUUAAAUUAAAUAAAUUAAAAAAAUUGAAUGAUAAAAUUAAAAUUUUGAAAGUCCACGGUUCAGGCAAGUUCCAUACAUUUAUACAAAAAAAAUAUAGGACAAGAAGUUUAAGGUCUAUCUUAAAUUUCCACAUAAUUGAUGGGGUCGUGAUGCAAUUUUUCCAAAGUGGCAAUAAAUUUGCGUACUUAUUUGAAUAUUCCGAUGUAAAAAAAAGUGUCCCAAGCAAAACAAACAACCAAAAACUAGCCCAACGAACCCGUCACUCCCUUAUCAUCCCCCCUCCCCUCAUCCCCGCUUCUCCCUCCCUCUCUCUCUCUCUCUCUCUCUCUCUCUCUCUCUCUAAGAGGAGCCAUGGCGCUCGCCUCGCCCAUCCACCGCCCCACCCUUCGAACCCCUCUCCGCUUCGACCCUUCUCCUCGCCGAGCGCGCUCUCUCUACUCCCUAUCCCGCUCUCUCUUCGCCGCCGCCGCCGCCGCCGCCGCCACCACCACCUCCUCCUCAUCUUCCUCUUUAGGUAGGGUUUCUCCUCUGAUCGAACUCGAUGCUUCCUUUUAUACACGUUCGAUUUCGAUUUCUCACACACCAUGGACCUAACCGGGGCAAUUUCAGCUCGCUGUCGCCGCGGGGAUUCGUUAAGGGUAUGGUGUGCGAAAGGGACGGAGAAGGAAGAUGUAUCAGUUACAGGUGAGCUAUAUCCUCACUAUCUUGUUUCACCAUGGAGAGGAAGAGUUUGCAUUUGUGUCUUUAAUUUGUCCUAUAGGAGAAGAUCCACUAGUUGUUUGUUGAAAUGUCCUUCCUUUAGUUGGCUUUUUCGGCAUUUGAUUGGUAUGCAGUUGUUCCAUGCCUAGACGAGUGUAUGUUCGGUAAGUUUCAUUAUGUACGUAAAAUCGAAACACUUUUUAACAUGUAUGAUGAAGUGGAGAAACAACUAAAUUUGCUUGGCUUUAUACAGUCCUCAAAAGUAUGACUCAAAACAAAAAUUUAGACCAAAAUGGCUCCCGAAGAAGGGAAUCAGAUAUAAAAGCUUCAGAAUUAAAGCCUUAUGUCCUGCAUCCACACUUCUGACAGAAGACGAAUAACACCCUUCUUCAAGGAUUAUGGAGGACCAAAAAAUCAAUGAAUAACCUGAGCGGAAACAAAAUUAAAUCUUUCAACUUAAUGGGCAGUAAAAGCUAUGUGUUCUCUUCUUUUUGGAUAUUUUAAACAAUGUCUUAGUAAUGAGAAUUUCAUUUUUACACAGAUAUAACCUGCAAAAGUCUUUCAAGAGUAACCUUUUACAGGGGAAUCAAAGUCGUGCAUGAGAUGCUAACUAUGCAGUAAUGUUUGGCCCUCACUAUACUAGCAUCUGCUUUCAAUGGGUUAUUUUGAACUGCAACGGUUUUUCUUUUUUAUUUUAUGUAUAUAAUUUUUUUGAGAGAGAUUCUUUGUCAUUGUUUUUGAACUUCAAAAAGAGUCUUAUGGUUUGAUUGUUAAUUCUUCUUUAAUUUUCUGAAGUUUUACAUCUAUGUUCUGGACCUUGUGUUGUCUGAUCUAUUCAUGAAAGGAAUACAUAUGAUAUUGAUAUUGAAACGAAUCUGCAGAAGAGUUGGAAACGUCUAGUACUCAGACACAUGAUAAAAUAGACAAUGACGGAAGGCUCACUUCAAAUUCUACUCCAGAUUCUGGACAAGAUGUAUCGACUCAUGUAGAAUCUUCUUUCAGAACUGUUGCAUUAUGGGUGAGUAUAUUGUAAAUUGAAUUACGAAAUCAAUAUAUGAUAGUGUGAUGAUGGUGGGUGUUUCCCUCUCUCUCUCUCUCUCUCUCUCUCUCUCUCUGGACUAUAUAUUCUUCAGUGGACCUGACAUUGUUCCUUCAAACAAUUUCUCCUUUUGCAGGUUUGUGCUGCUGUGACUUUUGGAAUUGCUAUUGGUCUCAAGGAUGGAGUAGGAAAGGCAUCUGAAUAUUUUGCAGGGUAUGCAUGGAAUGUUAUUCUAGAUACUGGGUGCACUGUUUAAUUUGAUGCUGGGUUGCCCAGUUACUAUUCACUACUUUUAUUGUAGGCUUGGGAUCGAUUCAUGCACAUGUUCCUUUGCUAAGCGAAUAGUGUCUUCUGAACUUAUGAUAUAAUGCAGGACUUGGCCAUACAUAUUUUUUGUAUUUUUUUAAAAGAAUGGAUUCUAAUAAUCAUCUUGUUAAUAGUAGCUUGUAUGAUUAUGGUCAGGUUAUAUUGUACUGCAGGUACCUUUUGGAGCAGAGCUUGUCCGUGGACAAUCUUUUUGUUUUUGUCCUGAUCUUUAGAUACUUCAAAGUGCCAAAGAUGUAUCAGGUAUUCUUAGGUCUGCAUACUGAUGUACUACCUGGCGGCUUCAUUUUGGGAUUAUAUUGUUGUGCUAAUAUAUUCGUUAUUACAUUUAAACCUAGAGCCGGGUGCUUACAUAUGGUAUAGCUGGAGCAGUCAUCUUUCGUGCAGUGAUGAUCUUGCUUGGUGCAGCCACUCUUCAGGUUUCUAAUUCAAGAUUCGGUGCAUGUUAAUCUUAAGCUUUGAUAUUUUUCAGAUUUUUUUAGGCCAACGUAUGGGUAGUCGCUGUACUAUCUCAAUAUUGCGACUAGUCCCUUCUUUUCUGCUUAGAUGGACUAUGCAUACAUUUUACCCAUCUUUUUCUUAACUCUGGUUUUCUUGUUCCUCUCAUAUUAAUGUCUCGUGCUUAUGCUUAGAGGUUUGAAGCGGUGAACUUGUUGCUGGCUUUGAUCCUUCUAUUCUCUUCCUACAAGGUGAAUUUCUUUCCUUAGCAAAUAUAGACCAAGAUUUUUAUAUGUUAAAUAUUUAAGUUAUCAUUGCCCAUUUUUAACAUAUUGGCUGCAAGAAACUUGAAAAAGAAAGGAAAAAAAACUGUCAAGAACAAGCAAAUUUCUGAUUUCUGAACCAUAGGAGAUAGCCGUGUUUAUAAUUGGAGUUCAAGAGAACUUCUAACUACAUUUGAGUCUAUGUAUACUGCAUUUGCAAUUUUCUUUUUCUUUUUUUUUUUUUGGUUUCUUGAAAUUAGACAUAAGGUGAUUCCCUAUACAUACUCAGUUACAAGUUUUCUUAUGGGAAGCUUCAAAGUAACCUCUAACUUUUCUCAGUGUACUAAUCUAUAUGUUGGUGACUCUGCGACAGCUGUUUUCUGCUGAAGAGGAUGAGACUGACCUUGCUGAUAAUUUUAUUGUGAAAACAUGCCAAAAGUUCAUUCCUGUUACUGGUAAGGUUUUUAUACAAUAUUUUGUGUCUAUUUCAACAAACAUGGUUUAGAUGCUUGAUUAGAAUCGGCUAGAUAUUGUAACUAUCUCUCAAUUGUUGUUUAUAGAUACUCUUGUUCCUUUAGCUAUGAUUUCUUUUGCUGUUGCCUGUCUUCCCCUUAGACGUAUCAUUUGGAUAGUUACAUGAUUAUAUAAUAUUCACCUAUCAUCUGGUUUUUGAGUUUCAGCUUAUUAUGAUGGUCAUCGGUUCUUUACAACUCAAGAUGGGGCAUGGAAAGUAAGUCCAUUACAAAUAGGCAAGAAUAGUUGAAUCUUUUGAAUGGCAUGUCGUUUAUUUGCGUAUUGAUGGAUGGAAAUGUGUUUGCAGGCUACACCUUUACUUCUAACACUUGCGGUGGUUGAGCUAAGUGACAUUGCUUUUGCUGUAGGUUCCUUCGCACUCUGUUCUGUGUGUUGUGAAUUUUGUGAUUUCCACUGCUAACUAUAUUUUAAUACGAGAAGAAGAUGUUUUUACUUGCAGAUUGACUCAAUACCAGCAGUUUUUGGUGUCACAAGGGAUCCUUUCAUUGUAUUUUCUUCAAAUCUUUUUGCUAUUACAGGUAAUGCCUUACUCUUCAAGAGCUCUAUUACCCACACAACUGAUAUUCUAUGUUAAUUUUGUAGUGUAUUUAUCUGAUGUUAAUGCUUCAUAUUGUCUUCUUCAAGCUAUUUUUUAUUUGCCCUUUCCUCCUGCAAAGUUGUCAAUGAAUUGGUUUGAAAUGUUUCAGUGUUUUUAAGGAAUUUAGGAAAGAUGUACCGGAUGCUCUAAUUGAUUAUGUCCUCUAAAUAGUAUCUUAGGUAUAAAAUCUGAUACAGAAAUGAAGUGGAUUAGUAUUCCCAAGAAAUUACUUACACAAUGAUUACCAGUUACGGUUGAUUCUGAAGAUGACUAUGCUAGAAACAUAGAAUCGUAAUGGUGGAGUUCGUAUUAAGAUCUUUAUGUAGACUGGCUCAUAUUGUGUCUCUUCCAUUGUCACCAGAGUCGAGUAGUUCUAUAAAUGGAAUAAAAUGUGCAGGAGGAUAGUAGUGGAUAUAUAGUCAUAAAAACAAGUCAGUUGGCAUAAAACACGUGAACUUUGGUGACAUACCAAUAAACCCCAGAAAAUUUGCUUUAUAUAGUUUUAAUUGCUUAUCAUAUAUUUCCAAGUAAGUAUGUCCGAAACUGUUAGUUUAUUUUCUUAGAAGAUAAAUUCAUAGUUCGCUAUUUUUGGUUGCAUUUGUUUACAUAAUUUAAUAAUUGAUCAUGCAGGUCUGAGGUCGCUUUAUAUACUUAUUUCUGAGAGUAUGUCUGAGUUGGAGUAUCUACAGGUAAGUGUGAACUUGCUCUUAUAUUGUGUCCCUGUUGUUAUUGUGCUCCAUUAUGUCAGACUAUUUUAUAGCUAUGUAUUGCUGGUUCGCAACUUCAAACUUCUUCUUUGCAGCCUGCUAUUGGCACAGUUUUGGGCUUCAUAGGGACUAAGAUGAUAUUCGAUUUUUUUGGUAAGUAAUUACUGAACAUCAUAGAAUAUUAUCAUCUAACCUAACAUUGCACAGCUCUUCUUGUGUGCAUCAGUGGCUUGCUGGAUAACAUCAGAUUCUUAAAAACGUGUAUUUCCUCUUUCUAUAUUCCAUUUGAUUUCUUUCACUCAUGUAGCUGAAAUUACAUCUGGCAGGUUAUCACAUACCAACGGAGAUAUCGCUGGGUUUUGUCGCCGCGUGUCUCAGUGCAGGAGUGGUGUUGAGCAUCACAAAGAAAUCUGAAUGAUGGAGAUACAAGAAGAGCAACUUAACGAGUAAGAAGGUGUAAAAAAAAAAAACAACUUACUCUAUGGUACAGAAACUGAUGCAGCUCAUGGUGCUUCUUAAACAUUCGAUUUUCACAUUUCGUUGAGAAUGCUGUUCUUUUUUAUUUUCUUUUCCUUAAUCUUUUACUUUUCUCUUGUUCUAUAAUUUGUGGCUCGUCCCUCUAUCCUUUGUCCUCUCCAGAUUCAGGUCUAAGCAGAACAUCGUAUGCAUUUCUUCUUCUAUUUUUUCGCUUUCUUUGGGAAAUAAUAGAGCUUUUGACCUCAUUUUUCUCCUCUUUGGACAGGUAAUUUAAACAGUGAUUUUGAGCAAGAAUAAAGUGUUCACUGUUCAGCAGACAAAUCUCCUACAUUGUUUCUCUACCUGGAACCAGAAGCUCUGCUAGAAGAAAAACAUUUCUUCUUGUUCACAGCUGGCAUUUGCUCAUAUUAUGGAAUGGGAAUUGAUAUAUAUUCUACUGUUUCACGUUGCUCUAUAAAAAGAACAUCCAACUUGCUCAGAAAUACCCCGAAGGCCAAGCACGAGAAAGAAGGAAAGCAAUAAAAAAUCAGUGAUAGUAAGCUGCAUUUCAAGUAAAAAGGACACUUAAUGACAUCAGAUUCCAUCUAAAAAGGACUCUAGUCAUAAGCUGCAUAGUCAAUUGCUUCUAACUUUUUCGAGCUUUUUGUAUUCUUUUUUUUUUUAAUUUUUUUGGAACCUUCCGUGUGCUUAAUAGUGCAGCAUUGCCAUGUAACUUUCAUUCUGAUGAUAUGUACGCAAGAGCUGAAUCUGUGAUUCUGCAUAGCUAAGUUGAUUGCUUCUUAAAGAAAUGCUUGUGCUUGUAGGGCAUUGAAUACCAUCUUGAAUGGAUAUGUUCUCAAAAAUAAUUGUUCUGUAGUACCAAGAAAAUGUGCUAUUUGGUAUAGCUUUAAAAUCCCUGGAACUUGCUAUGUAGUAAUUGCUUGGCUCUAUCAGAUAGAUAUAUUUUGCGCAGAAUCUCAUUACAGCGUUGAUUCUUUUGGGCCCAUUUUGAAAUGGCAUUAAGAUUCCAACAAUGUCAAGCAUAACAAGAGUAAAAUUCAAUAAUUAAGCAGAACAAAGGGGAAAAAAGAUAACACCAUCAAAAAGCGCCCUUCGUGGUGUAUCUACUACCGUUUCAAAGCAUAGCACUUUGCUAUCCUUCCUAAUAAAGGAUGCUUACAAACAACUUAACAAAAAAAUAGAAAAAGACAGCAACAUUUUGAAUAACAAGAUAGCAAAUUGCAAAUGCGACAGGCAGGAGUUCACAAUUUUCCAAAUUAAAAAAAAAACACAUCACAGCAACCAACAAUUACUUUCAAGCUAAAUGAAUGGAAACAUCUAAUAUAAUCCUGGUAGAAUUUAAGCCCAAACAGUCUUUGCUGAUUAAUAGCCCCACAUAGGUUUAUGAAAAAAGAUAGAUGCAUCAACCAAUUGUUUUGUUCGACGGAUCGGGUAUAUUUACAAAUAAAGCUAAGUACUACCAACUAUGUUCCGAAUCAAACCUUAGGAGCAGCCCCAUUGGACUCAUACUCUGCAGAAUAAACCUGGCCAUAUUCACCUUUAGGAUCAUUCUCAUCCAAGUAAUCAGCCCUUGCGUUUAUCGUCAGCAUCUGGCACACAAGCCAGAAGAGGGCGGCGUCCAGGGCCAAGAAGGCGGCUCCGCCAAACAGCCCGGUCUUAGCAGUUGGGCAUUGGGUGCUGAGAUCAUGGUGGACGUUGCGCGAAAUGUGAAGGCCUUCGGUGAUGGUUGCCCACAUCAUCAUCCCUAGAGCUAGGGCUGAGACAAUCCUGAUUAAAUAAGACAAAUUAGAUAUAAGAGAAAAUGGUCAAUAUUUUAAGCCUGUUUAGAGGCAUGAGCAUUUCGGUUCAACAUUUCACUUUUGGUUAAGUGAGAGCCCUUCGGUGAUUGACGAUUAAAAAUGCUGCAGCCGCAAAAUUAAUAUACAAGCCUCAAAGUACUUCUUACUCAGAGAUGAUGAAACAUUUCAUAGGUGGAAUAAUUAUAUUUUUCAAUAUCAUUAUUAGUAGGACAAUGCAAUGGAUUGAAGUUAAAGCAUGUAAUUUUCAAUCACAAAAGAGCGAAAAAAUUAUCACCCGAAGACUUGUUCAAGCAUCCAAAAAGACCCUUGGUGUAUUCCUUAACGAAGAGUAAUAAAGGGCAUCCAUUAGAAAUACAGCAUAAACCAUGAAAUAAUCUCAUAGAAUUGCAUUUCCAAAAGUCAAACGAGCUCCACUAAAGUUUUAUCUGUUGAAAUGAUUGCAUGGUUAAAUACGAAAGAACAACGUACAUCACUAGAUGAAAAAAUAUAGCAUGCGACAACUCAUGUAGAAAAGAGCAUCUGUCCUUAAGCUGGUAGCUACUACAAAAAUUAAGCUCCCGGGAGUUGAAUUUCCUGAUUUUACUCACUACUCCAGACUUUCAUAUACAGUCGCAAAGAUAAAUUUGGGAUGCAAGAUAGAAUAAGUUGGUGAAGGAGACUUACUCCGCGAUAAAGAAGAAUACCGCCAAGGAAGUGCUUCGAAACAAAACUUCUUGCGGAACCGACUUUCCUUUGUACGGGAAAAACACAGCAAAAUGGCCAACAAUAGCAGUUGCAACAAGCGCGACGAUAGAUAAACUCCCUAGAGCGACUGUUGGGUCGUUUGGAAACUUGCAGAUAACAACACCUUUUCCGUGAAUUAUUGUUCCAGAUGCAGGCUACAAAAGAUAUAAAAAAUACAUCAUCAAAUAACUACAAGCAAAUAUAUAUCAAUCAAAACUUGAUUUUAAGAUGCUCAGGAUUCAUUGCUAAGAUAAGAAGCACUUUAGAGAGAAUAAAACCUUCUUAUUUUCCGCAACGACACCAAAGAUGAAGGCCAGCGAUCCCAAGAAGGCCACAGAAAGAGCGAGUCUUAGUGUUGAAUUUGUAGCCAUUGCUCUAUCAAGAUACAUAAAUAAUUAACAAAUAAAAUGACAAUAAGAACAACAAAUUAGCAAACAAAAGAACAAGUUUACCGUGAAAAUUUAACCAACUAUGAUACAUAAUUAUUUUUAAGAACGUCAUAUUUUAUAAUAUUAAGACCCGCGAAGCUCCACAAGUAUUAGAUAGUACAACAAAUCACUAAUAUCUGUAAAAUCUCAACAAAGUAUCAUAAAUUACACAAUCAGAAUAGUAAUUCAGAAAGUAAAAUUUUUGGCCAACAAAUUUAGAGCUCUUCUAAUUUAUUUUUGAGUAUACGAAUAUGGCAUAUUGGAGUCACUAAAGAAAUAACAACAAAGACAAUGGACAGUGCUAUACAAACUUUUGUAGAAGAAAAAAAACAAAAUUCAACAUACGAAGUUCUCAAUUAUGUGGAUGUAAUAACCAUGACUACAAUUCUUUAAUCAAAAACUAAGAUCACUGUGGAAAUUAAUUUCCAACAUAUUUAUCACCUAGAAAAAAGGGGUGUUUUAGUUUAGUUUUUUUUUGCAACAACAAAAACUGUUCCCCAAACAUCAAAUGGUAAGAAAAAGGUACCAAAAAUCCUUAAUUUUAAGGAAUAUAAGAAAGGAUUGAGCAAAGAAUACACUAAAUAUGAUUACCACAAAAUUAUUUAACUUAAAGGAGAAUCAAAAUUCUAUGUUGCACCCCCACCCCAAAAAAACCUACAUGCAACAUAGUCGCAAACAAGAUUACUAUCUGAUAAACCAUAACGCUUACAUAUACAAUACAAUCUACUAAUUAUGAUAAGCUGUAUAAUAUUGCACCAAAAUUUCAACAGCGAUUAAUAAAGAUACAAAUUUAUCCAUUUGAAACUAUUUAAAAUAACAAAAAGCUAAAGAUAUAUGUAAAAAAGGAUCAAAAAAAUAAAGCCCACAUAUUCACAUUAUGUUGGGCAUAUGAUCAAAGGAUUAAGAAAACAUAAUAAAAUAAUUAAACAAAAAGUAAAAAUCGAAAAUUCCCAAAAUAUAUUGAUUUCCACCUCAAAGACCAAAUCUAUACAAUAUCGCUAAUUUAGGGCAGAACUAAAUUUUAAAAAAUAACCAGAAAAUUUAUAAAAUAGUCACAAAAUACAAAAUUUCCAUCGAUUACUCUCAAAAUUCAAAGCCCCAAACCCCCUCUAGUAGAAAUAGAAAACAAAGUAGAUUAACAACAGGAGAAACCGAAAAAAAAAUAGAAAAAAAUAGAAAUUGCAAAAUCGAACGAACCAGAUCCGCGAUGAGAAACCAAAAGAGAUGAUUACAAUGAAACUAAUAAAAAAGGAAAAAGAAAAUCUAGGGUUAGGGCUUCGCCUACCGGAGACCUCCUCGGAACGAUCGCAAUUCACAAGAGUGGAGUAACGAUGUAUGGUUAUAGAGAUAGAGAAAAGGGCCGAUAUUUUAAAUACUCGGACUAUACGGUGGUAACUUUGCACAUAAGUCCAAAAAAUUUGUAUAAUUACACAACUCCUCUGUCCUUAGUUGGCGGCGGGAUCUGGCGGGAUACCGAAAAAGGCAUUGAGAUUCCUCAGCCCCUACGCUAUGCAAAAUUGACUUAAAAUAAGGCUUUGAAAAGGAGAUAUUAACGAUUUUGCCACUGCGUGGGAUUUGUGGAUCAACCGUUGGAUUUGUAGUGGUGCGUCUGAUGGACGGUUGAGAUUUUUCAAAUCUUUUUGUAUAUAAGGAAGGUAACAGCUGUAUAUAGAUAAGUUCCACCUCGGGGAGGCAAAUAUGGUGUGAACGGAAAAUUAUGCGGAGUUGCAUUCGGAAACUUUUUAUGCGGAGCGACGUGAUUGAACGGCUGAGAUGAGUUUGAGCUUGAGGCUAUUAACGGUGGAUCUUAGUCUCGCUUAGAAAACUCUAUACGGGGGGUCGUAUUGCGGCGCUGUUGUAUCUCGAGUAGGAAAGGAAUCCGGGGAUUGGUGGAAACAGUUCGGCCGUGUUGUGAAUUUACGGAUUUGCCCUUUUUUGUUUUUAAUGAGAAAAGGAAUGUGUAAAAGAGGGUAACAAAAUUGAUAUAUAUAAAUAUCAGAUUCAAUGUAUCUGGUCAUUUUAAUUCUCCUGGAAAAUUAAUACUAUUUAUAAGUGCUCUCUCUUAAAUUAUUAGGAAUUUAUAUUUUUAGAGCUUGUUUUUAUUAUUGACAAAGAAAAAUAAGUAAAAUUCAAGUUAUAUACAACGCAUUUUUUUUCUGAAAAUAAUAAAAGUAAAUCUGGCAUUAAUAGUGCCUAAAUUAAUAUAAUUGCUUUGCUCAUUUGAUUGAAUAGAAUCUUAAUUGAUAGCAAUUAAGAAAUACUCCUCAUUUUGUUUUGAUAUUCAUUUCUUUUUCCAUUCGAAUGAAUUUUAUUUUAGUAUUAAAGUUUGUUAUUUUGUGCCUAGCUUAAAAUAUAAGGAAAACUUUAAAUACCAUCCUUAUGGUUUUCGCACUAUAUCACUUUAAUACCAUGUGAUUUAAAUCAUCUCCACUAAUUUUUUCGUUAAAUCAGUGACAAUUUUAAAACUAAAGGGUACUAAAGUGAAUAUACGAUAAACCACAGGUGGGAUAUCUAUAUUUUUUUAUAUAUAAUUUAACAAAAAGUUAAUAAAAGACUGACGAAAAGAGAAAAAAAAAUCACAGUGUACUAAAUUGACACACUUUAAACUAUAUGAUACUAAAGUGGGAAAGUACGAAACCACAUUAAUGGUAUUUGAAGCUUACCCUAAAAUAUAUCAUCAUCAAGUUCGCAUUUUGGUUGUUGUUUUCAUGUGUCAUUGGAUUAUACAAACAAAUGGAGUGUAGCUUAUUUUUUGGUAUGUUUAUCUUAUUUCUAAUGCUUGUCCUUAAGUUUCAUGUCACUCUCAAUUGCAAUUUUAUAAAUUUGUUUUAAUGUGCAUAAUUGGGAUUUUCUGAAAUUGCUUCUUUACUAGGAAUGGCCCCUUAAAAUAUUUCAAUAAAAUAUAUUGAGUUUUGGAGGAUUUUUUUUUAAGUUUAUUUGUGAAUAUCAAAUAUAAGUUUGUAGGGGGAAAUAAAUGUAAAUUGAAGUAGGUAAUUUUCCAAAUGUAAACCUGGUUAGAAGUAGAGUUACUUGAUUAAUCAAGUUGUGCAUAUGGGCUAGUGUACUAUAUUAUUUCUAAUAUACCAUGUAAUGUAACUUUAAAUUAUA
rnacentral:lncRNA from 1 species